AAACACAGGAAGGAGAUCAAAGCG
rnacentral:siRNA from 1 species